rnacentral:rRNA from 1 species
UACAGAGGGGGCAAGCGUUGUUCGGAAUUACUGGGCGUAAAGGGCGCGUAGGCGGCCUGCUAAGUCGAACGUGAAAUCCCUGGGCUCAACCCAGGAACUGCGUCCGAUACUGGUUGGCUUGAAUCCGGGAGAGGGAUGUGGAAUUCCAGGCGUAGCGGUGAAAUGCGUAGAUAUCUGGAGGAACACCGGUGGCGAAGGCGACAUCCUGGACCGGCAUUGACGCUGAGGCGCGAAAGCCAGGGGAGCAAACGGG